rnacentral:ncRNA from 2 species
AAAUAGUUGCGGGGGGACGCAUUGGCGUUGAGAAGGUUAAAACCUGACCCUUUGAACCUGUUCGUUAAGACGAACGUAGGGAGCAAAGUACAUAGCGGU